rnacentral:rRNA from 1 species
AGUGAACGCUGGCGGUAGGCCUAACACAUGCAAGUCGAACGGCAGCACAGUAAGAGCUUGCUCUUACGGGUGGCGAGUGGCGGACGGGUGAGGAAUACAUCGGAAUCUACUUUUUCGUGGGGGAUAACGUAGGGAAACUUACGCUAAUACCGCAUACGACCUACGGGUGAAAGCAGGGGAUCUUCGGACCUUGCGCGAUUGAAUGAGCCGAUGUCGGGUUAGCUAGUUGGCGGGGUAAAGGCCCACCAAUGCGACGAUCCGUAGCUGGUCUGAGAGGCUGAUCAGCCACACUGGAAGUGAGACACGGUCCAGACUCCUACGGGAGGCAGCAGUGGGGAAUAUUGGACAAUGGGCGCAAGCCUGAUCCAGCCAUACCGCGUGGGUGAAGAAGGCCUUCGGGUUGUAAAGCCCUUUUGUUGGGAAAGAAAAGCAGCAGGUUAAUACCCCGCUGUUCUGACGGUACCCAAAGAAUAAGCACCGGCUAACUUCGUG